CUGGGCGUAAGGAUGCGUAGGCGGAUAUUUAAGUGAGAUGUGAAAUACCCGAGCUUAACUUGGGUGCUGCAUUUCAAACUGGAUAUCUAGAGUGUGGGAGAGGAGAAUGGAAUUCCUAGUGUAGCGGUGAAAUGCGUAGAGAUUAGGAAGAACACCAGUGGCGAAGGCGAUUCUCUGGACCAUAACUGACGCUGAGGCAUGAAAGCGUGGGUAGCAAACAGGAUUAGAUACCCUGGUAGUCCACGCCGUAAACGAUGAGUACUAGGUGUAGGAGGGUCCAACCUUCUGUGCCGCAGUUAACACAAUAAGUACUCCGCCUGGGAAGUACGAUCGCAAGAUUAAAACUCAAAGGAAUUGACGGGGGCCCGCACAAGCAGCGGAGCAUGUGGUUUAAUUCGAAGCAACGCGAAGAACCUUACCUGGACUUGACAUCCCCUGAAUAGUGCAGAGAUGCAUGAAGCCCUUCGGGGCAGGGAGACAGGUGGUGCAUGGUUGUCGUCAGCUCGUGUCGUGAGAUGUUAGGUUAAGUCCUGCAACGAGCGCAACCCUUAUCAUUAGUUGCUACCAUUAAGUUGAGCACUCUAGUGAGACUGCCCGGGUUAACCGGGAGGAAGGUGGAGAUGACGUC
rnacentral:rRNA from 1 species